CUAUAAAUUAAUUCCAAAUCCAAUAUCCACCAUCACUUUCACUGAAAUCAAGCACUACUCAUAAGCAUUUCUCAUUUCACCUUCUCCUUUCUCCAACAAGAGCGGUGUACAUGGCUCGCACCAAGCAGACUGCCAGGAAAUCUACAGGAGGUAAGGCUCCCAGGAAGCAGCUGGCAACAAAGGCAGCUCGUAAGUCAGCACCAGCCACCGGCGGUGUGAAGAAGCCUCACCGUUUCAGGCCUGGAACUGUCGCCCUGAGAGAGAUUAGGAAGUAUCAGAAGAGCACCGAGCUUUUGAUCCGCAAGCUCCCAUUUCAGAGGCUUGUGAGGGAGAUUGCUCAGGAUUUCAAGACUGAUCUCAGGUUCCAGAGCAGUGCUGUUGCAGCUCUUCAAGAGGCAGCAGAGGCGUACCUUGUUGGGCUCUUUGAGGAUACUAAUCUCUGUGCUAUUCACGCUAAGAGAGUGACAAUUAUGCCCAAAGAUAUACAAUUGGCCCGAAGGAUUAGAGGUGAAAGGGCUUGAAAUGAUUGUUAAUAUGUUUGGUAGAUCUUUGUCUUAGGUAUCUGUUUUUAUUUCUAGAUUAAUAUGGCUCUUGUUAGGUCUGUUUAUUUGUCCUUAUCUUUGUAUUGGCUAAGCUAUUUGUAAUCGCUAUGGAAAUCUAAUGGGCAAGUUAUUUUGCUCUUUUU
rnacentral:misc_RNA from 1 species